UUUAAAAAGGGACCCGGGGUGGGGGGGAGCUUUAUGUGAUGAGAUUUUAGGUUUUGUUCCUGUGGCUAAAGCAUCAAACUAAGAUUCUCUUCUGAAGCUUUUCUUUUCCUCUUUUAGAAAAGUGAUUCUUUACCUUUUGGGACAGGAAACUUUGAGGAUAUCAAACUAUGUAUUUUUUCCCUUGAUUUCAGGAUAUGGUUACAGGGACCUUUUUGGACACCUUCCCCUCCAAGUCCAUGCAUAACGAUCUGGAUAAGAAUAAUAGAGCUUGUUUUUUAUCUUAAAUUUAUUAACUUUGGCUUAAUAUUUAGUUAUUUUAUCGAUAAAACUGUCAUAUCCACUGAAGAUGGAUUAGGAAGAAGAAAAGGUAAUAACUGGGCCGUGAAAUUUAUUGUUUGCCCUAAAUUACUGAAGGAGUCAGAGCUGUGAAUUAUUUAUGCUCCUUGCUGCUUAAAGGCCCUUUUUGUAGUAAUAAUGCUAUAGCAUACUUAAGUACUUAUGUUCAUCUUACAUGGCUUUCAUUGUCUUAGGCUGUUUAAACUCUAACAGACCUAUUAGAAUGGAGUUUUUAAAAAUUGUGAAUAUUUGUGAAAGGUAUUUGGGUUAAAUAAGAGUAACCCAAAAAUAGGGACUCAGUGCUACAGACUAGUACAGAAUACAGCAUACAAAAGUCUAAAUAACAGUAUAAACCAGAUCUACUAUUCUGAGGUUGGAUCCUAGUGGAGUUUGCUUUCAGCUCCAAGAUUCUUAACAUCACAAGUCAUAUUAUGAGUAUUGUUAUGUUAGCUUAAGUUUUUGGUGUCAUUAAAAUAUUUUGUCAGGUUCAUGACCUCAUGAUACGUAAUGGAAAAUGAUGGUAAAAUAGCCACUCACUUGGUUCUUUUUGGCUCUUCCUCCUAAGAGCUAAAAGUGCUUCAUGAUAUACUACCUCAACAUCCUCAUAGCAACUUUGCUAGAGUACUUUGCAUUUAAAAUUUAGAUCUUCUUACAUGGAAGAGGUCAAAUCCAGUUAUAGCAAAACACCUUUACAGCAGAGGCCAUAUAACCAAAAAGUCUAAAGGCCCAGCCCAGUGGACCAUUUACUUCAAUGAUGUUCAGUACAAAAUUCCACUGCCACUAAAGACUUUGGAAAGUCCCUUUAAGUUGUAACAGGAUUUGACUAUUAGUGUGGAUUUUGAUAACCCUUCUUUAGUUAACUUAAUAAAUAUUCUUUGAAGCUGCAGUUUAUUAGAGAGAAGUAUAUUGCUUUCUUGCAACCUUAAAUUUUUGUCUAGGCUUUUAUCUAGAGGAUCGUAUUUUCUGAAUGUCUUAGUAUGUUGCUGUCUUUUUACCUGUCUGGGGUUGCCUUCAGAUGUGGGUGGGGACUCAUUUAUAAAAAGUUCUGGGAAGACCUUAAGUUGAAAUUAGCUCUCCAAGUUAUGAGUCUUUUCCUUUGGCAGAAUAAGUUUGGGGCCUAAAGAGAGGUAAAUAGGGAGGUUGGCUGCCUCUCUGCUAUGGGCCAUCUAUGAGCAGAGCAAAACUUUGUCUUUUUUUUGUGGGGGAUGGAGUUACUUUUUCCUUUGUCCCCUAAUUGAUGAUAUUUAAAACUUGAUUCUAGCUAUCUCUCAGAAUUCUUCCGUCUAAGCCAUAGUGUCAGGUUUUUCAGGCAACAAAGUUGGACUGUUACCUGUUGCCCUUCUGGGCAUUACUUUGAUGAUUUCUAUAUAAAUAAUGAGUGUAGCCUAACUUUCUGUCAUGUGCUACCUAGCAUAUACAUUUCUGACAGUCAGGUGGAUUAUCUUGAAAUUUUAGACAAAGUUUCUGCCUCCUUGGAAAGCUCUACAUCUCCUUGUGAUUGGAGUGUGGGUUUCAAGAUUCCAGAAGGUGG